GGGGCUUAUCUUUUGAAGAGGGACAUUUUGACAAUGUCGUUCGCACCGAGGGACACCCACGAGGCGCAGGUGCAGUUCGCGCUUGAGCGUGGAGUCCCUGCGAUGAUCGGAGUUAUGUCGUCGGAGAGAAUUCCAUACCCAGCAAGAGCCUUCGAUAUGGCUCAUUGCUCUAGGUGCUUGAUUCCAUGGCAACAGUAUGAUGGGCUGUUUCUGAUUGAAGUGGACAGAGUUUUGAGGCCAGGAGGAUAUUGGAUCCUCUCGGGCCCUCCGAUCCGUUGGAAGAGAUACUACAAAGGUUGGGAGAGAACCCAAGAAGAUCUGAAGCAAGAGCAAGAUGCGAUCGAGGAUGUUGCAAAGCGACUUUGUUGGAAGAAGGUGGUAGAGAAGAAUGAUCUCGCAAUCUUUCAAAAGCCCAUCAACCAUAUUGAAUGUGUUAAGAAUAGAAAAGUCUAUAAGAAACCCCACAUUUGCAAGAGUGAUAACCCGGAUGCUGCCUGGUAUAAAAAGAUGGAGACUUGCAUUACUCCAUUACCGGAGGUUAGCAAUGAGAAAGAAGUCGCUGGAGGAGCCUUGGCGAAAUGGCCAGAACGAGCAUUUACCGUUCCACCGAGGAUACUUAGUGGGGCAAUUCCUGGAGUU
rnacentral:misc_RNA from 1 species